rnacentral:rRNA from 1 species
GACGAACGCUGGCGGCGUGCUUAACACAUGCAAGUCGUACGAUGACCCGGCUCUUCGGAGCUGGUGAUUAGUGGCGAACGGGUGAGUAACACGUGGGUGACCUGCCCUGCACUCUGGGAUAAGCCCGGGAAACUGGGUCUAAUACUGGAUACGACCCGUGGCCGCAUGGUCUGCUGGUGGAAUGCCCUUCGGGGUGGUGUGGGAUGGGCCCGCGGCCUAUCAGGUUGUUGGUGGGGUGAUGGCCUACCAAGGCGACGACGGGUAGCCGGCCUGAGAGGGUGUCCAGCCACACUGGGACUGAGACACGGCCCAGACGCCUAGGGGAAGCAGCAGUGAGGAGUCUAGCGCAAUGAGCGAAAGCCUGAUGCAGCGACGGCGCGUGAGGGAUGACGGCCUUCGGGAGGUAAACCUCUUUCGGCAGGGAACAAGCGUGGGGGUUGUCGUCUGGGUGAGGGUACCUGCGGAAGAAGCACCGGCUAACUACGUG